UACAGAGGGUGCGAGCGUUGUCCGGAAUCACUGGGCGUAAAGGGCGCGUAGGCGGCUUGACAAGCGUGCGGUGAAAGCUCGGGGCUCAACCCCGAGUCGGCCGUGCGAACUGUCGAGCUCGAGCACAGUAGAGGCAGAUGGAAUUCCGGGUGUAGCGGUGGAAUGCGUAGAGAUCCGGAAGAACACCGGUGGCGAAGGCGGUCUGCUGGGCUGUGGCUGACGCUGAGGCGCGACAGCGUGGGGAGCAAACAGGAUUAGAAACCCUAGUAGUCC
rnacentral:rRNA from 1 species